UUGUCUUGCGUUCCAUAUGGUUCCGUAUCCGGUCAGCUGUAAUGGCUGCCAUAUGACGAGCUUGCGAACUUGUGUGAUUCCCGGCUCAUCCUACCUUUUUCGGGUCAUUGUAUUUGGUGUUGGAGUUGUUCGCCAUAACCUGAACGUUUCACCUAUCAUUGCGGCGUACUGUUCUUGAUCUGCUGCAAAGCAACGAACCGCUACGACAGUCACUCGCCUCAGCGAAAUUCUGUCUGCUGCGUAUCAAAGGAGCAUAGGGACCUGAUGAUGUACUGCAAAUGCUGAAGUUGUAUUCUUUGAACCUUCAUCUAAAGAAACAAAGUGUGCUCUCCUGUGGUUCUGAGGGAAAAGCAGUUUCAACAAGAACCCUCCGCUUCAGGAACCCAGUUAUACUUUAUGUGACCCAUCUGAUGGCUCCUGACUAGGCUAUGCCGCUCUGAAGCAUUGAGAUGGCGAAAGGUCGUGGGGUCUGCACCUCUGCUUUCGAAAGAGAAUCAGUUAUUCCACACUGUGCUUACUGGCUUUGCCUCGAGUCUAACAAAUCUGACAUGCCUGAACUGCCUUUUUCAAGGAAGUUUGAAAUAGCAUCCCUUAUGCACCUGCAUUUCAAUUAAGAUCUGUGUUACAAGAAUGACAGACCACACAACAGUGAUGAAAGGUGGAAGUGCUGGAACGAAGAAGCGUUAAUCUGUGUGAAAGGUGCUUUUUAUGUGUCUGAGUCAUGGCCAUAGGUUACAAGCUAAUUUCUGUCCUCAUAAGAGGUGUCAACUAUGCUCUUUCUAUCUACUAACCUGCUCCACUUUAGGGUUCCCUGUAAACUAAUGGAACACAUCAUAUACCAGCACGUUGUUAACCACGUUGAGUCUAUAAAUUUUUUUUUAAAUUCCAGCAUGGCUUUAGAAAAGGGUAUUUAGACAAAAGUAACAUAAUUCGGUCACAGCAUUUUAAACUGUCUUGAUUUCUGCGUUCACGUAGAUGAAGUAUUUUUUUUUUAUUCUGUGAGGGCUUUUGGCACUGUGUUUUAUGCUUGCUUGUUGGCCAAACUAGCCCCAUUAAAAUUUGAUCUUGCUACCAUUAACUGGAUAUGCAGUUUCUUGACUAACGGCAACCAUGCCAACAAUUCGUGAGGAGAACCUACCAUAUCGCCACCAUGCAGCAUUCCUCAGGUUAUAUAUGCACCACAUUUUAAUCAAGUGUGAAGCAAGGCCUUUAGGUGAUCGGUCUUGUAUAAUUACACGUCCCUCUGUUAUUCAACACCACACGGUUCUUCAACCUAUGACAGAUAAAUAAAUAUAUUGCCCAGUAAAUUGUUUACAAGGCUGAUUACCCCAUUUCACCACAUUAACGCAAACAAUUGUUAGAGUAUUGGCCCAGGGUAUGAAGCUUGCCACUAAUCAUCAUUCAAACAAAGUUUGUAAUGUAGAAUCCUUUACUGAAAACACCGACUUAACACAACAAUUGAGAACAAAGAGAGUGAACGUUUCGUCGCCUACCCGGGUGGCAUCAUCGCUACAACAGAGAACAGUCACAAACAACAUCGACGGAGUCAAAUCAGUGGUGUGCAUUCCUUUCAUCCAAGGUGUUUCAUAGGCCAUUUGAAGGGAACUGUGCCCAUCAGGCAUUAAGACUGUGCAUAUAAAGUUAAGUGCACAGACUGUGACACAACCUACAUUGGCAAGACAGACAAAAGACGUGGGAAAAGACUAAAAGAGCACACAAGGGACGUUCCCAAGGCUUCUAAUGCUACUGAAACCAGGACCAAAUUAGUCUACUAUUGUUGGCCUGAUGAACAUGUAUUAAAUUUUGAUGGUGCGGUAACCUUUGCACAUGACUAGCGAUGUGGCCUUAGAAAGUGCUUAGAGUCCUGGUUUAUGCAUCAGCCUGUAAUACAAACAGUGGCCCCCUAUCGGAUGUGUAUGAUGCGCUCUUAGAUAAGUAGGCUGAGGUGCUUGUCUUUGGCCCUUGUUGUACUGAUGAUGCCACCCAGAUAGGCGACAAAACGUUUACACACCGGUUUUAGUCGUUAUGUUAAGCAGUGUUUGCAGUAAAGGAUGCUACAUUAUAAGGUCGUCACCUGGCGUUUGGAAUAUAUUUUCAAAUAAAGUUGUUUUACAAAGCUCA